rnacentral:rRNA from 1 species
UACAGAGGGUGCGAGCGUUGUCCGGAAUCACUGGGCGUAAAGGGCGCGUAGGCGGCUUGAUAAGCGUGCGGUGAAAGCCCGGGCUCAACCCCGGGUCGGCCGUGCGAACUGUCGAGCUGGAGCACUGUAGAGGCAGGUGGAAUUCCGGGUGUAGCGGUGGAAUGCGUAGAGAUCCGGAAGAACACCGGUGGCGAAGGCGGCCUGCUGGGCAGUAGCUGACGCUGAGGCGCGACAGCGUGGGGAGCAAACAGG